rnacentral:rRNA from 1 species
UACGUAGGGUGCAAGCGUUGUCCGGAAUUACUGGGCGUAAAGGGAGCGCAGGUGGUUAUUUAAGUCAAUAGUAAAAGGCAUGGGCUUAACCCAUGUAAGCUAGUGAAACUAAAUAACUUGAGUAUGGUAGAGGUAAGCGGAAUUCCUAGUGUAGCGGUGAAAUGCGUAGAUAUUAGGAAGAACACCAGUGGCGAAGGCGGCCUUCUGGACUGUAACUGACGCUGAGGCACGAAAGCGUGGGGAGCAAACAGGAUUAGAUACCCUGGUAGUCCACGCCGUAAACGAUGGGUACUAGGUGUUGGGGGUUUCGAUGCCCUCAGUGCCGGAGUAAACACAUUAAGUACCCCGCCUGGGGAGUACGGUCGCAAGACUGAA